rnacentral:tmRNA from 1 species
UUUUGACAGCAUAGGUCUUUGAGAGUGUAAGCAUGUCGUGCGUUGGAUAAUUAGCACGUUAAUCUGAAUAUUCAAAAUCAAACGGCGAUACACAAUUCGCAAUGGCUGCUUAAUUUAAGUACCCAUUAACAGUCCGUUCAUUUCGGGUAGAUUCAUAACCUACGUUGAACCGACUUCACCAGAAAAUAUGAGUUGCUAGUAAGGUAGGCUGUGCCUUUACUUUAAGAUAAUCCAGCUAAGGUUGAUAUGGGUUCGUUCUGUUCCGGUAUCCUCACAAAAACCAAUGCAGAAAUAAGCAUGUAGAAAGCUUUCGACGAAUAUGUUUGGACAGGGGUUCGACUCCCCUCGGCUCCACCA